GGGCUGACUGCUGGCGAGGAAGGAGAUGUAUCACUAGCUCCUGAGAGAGGACUGCCUGCACUCCUAGAUGAAGAAGCCAGCCAGUCGGAGACGGACCCCAACACACCACUUGGGACGGCACGGAGAGUGGAGAGACCAGAGAAUCCCAGAGAUGGACAAUCCAAGAGACUCAGUUGGGAGUACCCAUGGACUUGAGAUGCUCCACCUAACCCCCACUGGACAGCGGCCUUGCAGACUUAAUGGGCUCUGGGCAGGAUCAGUGCAUGGGAAAAGAGUUAAUGUUCAGCCUCUCUCUGGCACUUGAAAAUGUGUGACUGAAGACUAAUCCCUUACAUAGAAAAGAAAACAUGGGAAACAAACUGGUGUUGGCUGGUUCUCCCAUGCUUUGUUGUAGUAAAACUGUGAGAUGCAUAUACAUGGGAGUGGAACAGAAGAGGUAUUCAGUGAAGAAUGCCAGAAGCCAUGGACAACCCGUGACAGGCAACGCAUUUGUUGCAGUUGUGUACACUCCCUUAGCUUCUUGCCUCCAGAAUAAACACAUGAGGUCUCAUCGUGCCAACUCUUAUUACCAGGCAUAGUCAUCCUGCCCACACUUACUACCAAGUAUAGUUCCAUUGAUUGAAGUCAUGGAGAUGGGGGAGCUUUUCAGAAGCCUUCAGGCCUGGCAUAUUGGAGGUAUUUUCAUUCUAAUCCAGCUGUGUUUGGAAGCCUGUAUGCCAAAACUAAUUCUAUUUGAUAACUGAACUUCUUCAUUUACCCUUGGGGUUUCAAAAAGAGAUGUCCCAACUCACUGUGGUGCCCCUCCACGGACCCUGCAAAAGGUGGAGCUUUGUUUAGAGUGGAAAAAAUCAUUUUAAAUGGAGAAUUUGAUGGUUUGUAUGAAACUGUAAAAGCAUUGCAUAGCAACAAACAUGCCAAGUAAACCAUUCUUAGUUAUGUUGUUCUAUUUGCUUGAGUUAUCUAAAAUACGUCUUUCUAAAGCUCUGAGAGAGUAAAUUAUGUAAACUUGAAAAGGCAGCACACAUGGGAACCAGUCCACUCUAAAGGAAAUCUAAAUAGAAUGAGGCAGAUGCUCAGCUAAUGUAAAUUGUAAUCGCUCCAUUGCAGCCAAUGGGAGCUAUGACAUCUUACCCCAACCAAGGAUCUGUGCCAGCAUCUGUUUUAUGGUUUAUAAAAAAUGGACAAAUACCAUAUACAGAAUAGGUGCACUAAACCAAGUUAAGACAAAAAUAUUUCCUGGUAGGGAGAGGAGGUCCCAAUACUUCUGAAAAGGGUUUGUGUCACAGUGUAAAGAAAUUGCUUUGUGCAGCUGCAAUCCAUGCUACCUAUUUUUUAACUGCAACCUCGGUGCUACCCCAGUCAUGGGCUUCAAAGGCCACACAAUGAACACUUCUUAACAGGGUGGCAUAUAGGAUAGCACAUUUCAGUUCUUACUAACAGGUUGAAAAAUCAUUACUCAUAGCAACAAAGUUGUGAUGCAAGAACACAAUUUUCAUACCAGACAGAUUCUUUGGUGAAUAAAAAAAAAUUAACAUUUUCUUGAACACAGAUUUAUUUAGCUUUUCAGAAUAAAGGAUUAGUUUUGCUCCUGAUAUAAUUCUGACUAAUGAAGAAUAAACUGGAGUCCUUUCUUUUUGCAAUGUCACCAACAUACAGUGCAGUUUUUGAUCAUACCCCAAAUUAGCUUGAACUACAAAGCUAAUAAUUGAGCUAAUAGUGCCUGCUCUUGGAAAUGUAUUUGUUUCUCUCUGAAGAUCUUAACUUUUAGCAAAUUUCAUAAAUCCUGAAUGUGUGGUUGUGAGCCUGAUGCAACUAUCGAAUUACUAAAACACUGUUUGAGAUGCACCUUUUUAGACAAGUCUUAAGGUUAUUUAGAAAUGUUUUGAAACAAAGAUAGAAGAAAAACAAUUUUAUCACAAGUGAUGAUCACAACACAUGGCACUGCUAUUUAGUAGAUAUUACUGCUAAUGAGGUUUAAAGAUAAUGGAGUUUCUUUACUACCAGUCACAGGGAGCAGCUGAGAAAGAGAUUUUGGGAUGCAAUAUUAUUUCAGUUAACAAAUGCUGCCUCCAAUUGUUUGCUGUAGUGAACAGCAGAUUCCUUUAAAAAUCAAUCAGAGGAUAAAUAUUGAAGGUAGAGCUGGUAGAAUUACAUGUUGAUAAUAAAUUACUGGAGAAAUAUAUCUUUGUAUAACAAAAUAGCAAUCCCAACCCAAAAGGAUUUACAAUCUAAGUUUUUAAGCUUUGUCACUCACUUAUCCUUAUUCGGGGUAUGCGGUCAUAUGAUAUAGUUUCUGUCCCUCAUCCCCUCUCCCAAGAUUGGAGGAUAACAAAUUAAUAACAAAUAGUGACUAAUGAACACCAAGUAUUGCAGGGACUGACUUUUUGUUAUAUGUUUGUACAGUGCCUAGCACAAUGUGAUUCUGAUCUAUGAUUGGGAACCUUUGGUGUUACUGUACUAUAAUAGUUGCAUGAGAAUAUAUUUAACAUUUAUAUGAACAAAGGGUAUGAACACUUGACUCAAACUGAAUGCUUUCUAUCACUUUUUUCAGUAUUUGACCCUCAACGUGUUAAACUUCUAUUCCCAGGCAAAAACUAAACAGUUUUGUGACUGGCAGCCACAUUUAUAUUGAGACUUGUUUGGUUUUAAUAUGCAGUAUUUUAUUAUCUGAAACCUCCCCUACUGUGGGGGGAGAGUAUCUUGCCCUAUCUUGAAGGCAGUGGUCUGUGAUGAUCUCAUAGGUUUCUCUUCCCAUUUUUAGGAUGGGAUUUUCAAAAGCACCUUUUAGGUGCUUUAGAAAAUCCCAAUCUUAUACCCAUUUGUUAAACAUUUUUGUGUUUCUUUGGUAUUUGGAGUGCAAGUUCGUCAGGGCAGGGACUGUCUGUAAUUCCAUGUUUGUAUAGUGCCUAGCACAACAGGGUCCCACUCUUGCUUGGUCCUUCAGCACUACCAUAAUAAACAAGAUUACU